rnacentral:rRNA from 1 species
UACAGAGGGUGCAAGCGUUAAUCGGAAUUACUGGGCGUAAAGCGUGCGUAGACGGUUAUUUAAGUCAGGUGUGAAAGCCCAGGGCUCAACCUUGGAAUUGCAUUUGAGACUGAAUAGCUAGGGUGCGGAAGAGGGAAGCGGAAUUUCCGGUGUAGCGGUGAAAUGCGUAGAUAUCGGAAGGAACAUCAGUGGCGAAAGCGGCUUCCUGGACCAGCACCGACGUCAGGCACGAAAGCGUGGGGAGCAAACAGG